UACGGGGCGCACGAGGCGCGAAAACUUUACAAUGCUGGAAACAGCGAUAAGGGGACCUCGAGUGCCAGGUUACAAAUCUGGCUGUCGUGAUGCCUAAAAAGCAUUGCAUAGCAAGGGCCGGGCAAGACCGGUGCCAGCCGCCGCGGUAACACCGGCGGCUCGAGUGGUAACCGUUAUUAUUGGGUCUAAAGGGUCUGUAGCCGGCCGGAUAAGUCUCUUGGGAAAUCUGGCAGCUUAACUGUCAGGCUUUCAGGAGAUACUGUCUGGCUCGAGGCCGGGAGAGGUGAGAGGUACUUCAGGGGUAGGGGUGAAAUCUUGUAAUCCUUGAAGGACCACCAGUGGCGAAGGCGUCUCNNNAGAACGGACCUGACGGCAAGGGACGAAAGCUAGGGGCACGAACCGGAUUAGAUACCCGGGUAGUCCUAGCCGUAAACGAUACUCGCUAGGUGUCGGCCACGGUGCGACCGUUGUCGGUGCCGUAGGGAAGCCGUGAAGCGAGCCACCUGGGAAGUACGGCCGCAAGGCUGAAACUUAAAGGAAUUGGCGGGGGAGCACCACAACGGGUGGAGCUUGCGGUUUAAUUGGAUUCAACGCCGGAAAUCUUACCGGGACCGACAGCAAUAUGAAGGCCAGGCUGAAGACUUUGCCGGAUUANNNNAGAGGUGGUGCAUGGCCGUCGUCAGUUCGUACUGUGAAGCAUCCUGUUAAGUCAGGCAACGAGCGAGACCCACGCCCACAGUUGCCAGCGUACUCUCCGGAGUGACGGGUACACUGUGGGGACCGCCGCUGCUAAAGCGGAGGAAGGCAUGGGCAACGGUAGGUCAGUAUGCCCCGAAUAUCCCGGGCUACACGCGAGCUACAAUGGUUGGUACAAUGGGUAUCUACCCCGAAAGGGGAUGGAAAUCUCCUAAAGCCAAUCUUAGUCCGGAUUGAGGGCUGCAACUCGCCCUCAUGAAGCUGGAAUCCGUAGUAAUCGCGUUUCAACAGAACGCGGUGAAUACGUCCCUGCUCCUUGCACACACCG
rnacentral:rRNA from 1 species